GGGAAAAAAUAAUCGGAAAAAAUAAUUAAUUAGAAAAAUAAUUGGGAAAAAAUGGAAAAAUAAUCAGAAAAAAAUCGGAAAAAUAAUUGGAAAAAUAAUCGGAAAAAAUAAUGGGGAAAAAAUAAUCGGAAAAAAUUAAUUGGGAAAAAUAAUCGGAAAAAAUAAUUAAUUGGAAAAAUAAUUGGGAAAAAUAAUAGGAAAAAAUAAUUAUUUGGAAAAAUAAUCGGAAAAAUAAUCGGAAAAAGAAUUGGAAAAAAAUAAUUGGAAAAAAAUGGAAAAAAUAAUCGGGAAAAAAUUAAUUGGGAAAAAUAAUCGGAUAAAAAUAAUUGGGAAAAAUAAUUGGGAAAAAAAUAAUUAAUUGGAAAAAUAAUCGGAAAAAAUAAUUGGAAAAAUAAUCAGAAGAAUAAUUGGAAAAAAAUAAUUGGAAAAAAAAAUCGGGAAAAAAUAAUCGGAAAAAAUUAAUUGGGAAAAAUAAUUAAUUGGAAAAAUAAUCGGAAAAAAAUAAUUGGGAAAAAAUAAUUGGAAAAAAAUAAUUGGGAAAAAUAACUGAGAAAAAAUAAUUAAUUGGAAAAAUAAUCGGAAAAAUAAUUGGAAAAAAUAAUCGGAAAAAAAUAAUUGGAAAAAAUAAUCGGAAAAAAAUAAUUGGAAAAAAUUAAUUGGGAAAAAUAAUUAAUUGGAAAAAUAAUUGGGAAAAAUAAUUGGAAAAAAUUGGAAAAAAUAAUCGGAAAAAAAUAAUUGGAAAAAAUUAUCGGGAAAAAAAUAAUGGGAAAAAUAAUUGGGAAAAAAUAAUUAAUUGGAAAAAUAAUCGGAAAAAUAAUUGGAAAAAUAAUCGGAAGAAUAAUUGGAAAAAAAUAAUUGGAAAAAAUAAUCGGGAAAAAAUAAUCGGAAAAAUAAUUGGAAAAAAAUAAUUGGAAAAAAUUGGAAAAAAUAAUCGGAUAAAAAUAAUUGGGAAAAAUAAUUGGGAAAAAUAAUCGGAAAAAUAAUCGGAAAAAUAAUUGGAAAAAAUAAUCGGGAAAAAAUAAUCGGAAAAAAUAAUUGGAAAAAUAAUCGGAAGAAUAAUUGGAAAAAAAUAAUUGGAAAAAAUAAUCGGAAAAAAAUAAUCGGAAAAAAUUAAUUGGAAAAAAUUAAUUGGGAAAAAUAAUUAAUUGGAAAAAUAAUCGGAAAAAUAAUCGGAAAAAUAAUUGGAAAAAAUAAUUGAAAAAAAAUAAUUGGAAAAAAUAAUCGGGAAAAAAUAAUCGGAAAAAAUUAAUUGGGAAAAAUAAUUAAUUGGAAAAAUAAUCGGAAAAAUAAUCGGAAAAAUAAUAGGAAAAAAUAAUUGAAAAAAAAUAAUUGGAAAAAAUAAUCGGGAAAAAAUAAUCGGAAAAAAUUAAUUGGGAAAAAUAAUUAAUUGGAAAAAUAAUCGGAAAAAUAAUCGGAAAAAUAAUUGGAAAAAAUAAUUGAAAAAAAAUAAUUGGAAAAAAUAAUCGGGAAAAAAUAAUCGGAAAAAAUUAAUUGGGAAAAAUAAUUAAUUGGAAAAAUAAUUGGGAAAAAUAAUUGGAAAAAAAUGGAAAAAAUAAUCGGAACAAAAUAAUUGGAAAAAAUUAUCGGGAAAAAAAUAAUGGGAAAAAUAAUUGGAAAAAAUAAUUAAUUGGAAAAAUAAUCGGAAAAAUAAUUGGAAAAAAAUAAUUAAUUGGAAAAAUAAUCGGAAAAAAAUAAUUGGAAAAAUAAUUGGGAAAAAUAAUCGGAAAAAAUUAAUUGGGAAAAAUAAU
ensembl:lncRNA